rfam:Canis lupus familiaris chromosome 16, whole genome shotgun sequence.
GCCUGGGGGGCUCAGUGGUGGAGCAUCUGCCUUCAGCUCAGGGCGUGAUCCUGGGGUCCUGGGAUCGAGUCCCGCCUCGGGCU